AGCAGCGUGGCUCAGUGGAAAGAGCAUGGGCUUGGGAGUCUGUAGAUCAUGGGUUCGAAUCCCAGCCCUGCCA
rnacentral:tRNA from 1 species